UGGACCUAUUUGUGUUGUUUCCUUAAUGUUUGCUGUUGAAAAAAUUGUUUUUUUGUUGUGAUUCUAGGUUGUUUCUCCUUGCUUCCUUUGGCUUGUGGGUUAAGAUUAAGGAACUCUUUGAUGAUUAAGGUUCUAAAUUGUGGUAGCAAAGUCUGUUUUUGUUUAGUUCGUGGUAUUGCAGGAAAUUGCAACUAUAGUUGUGGAGUGUUUUUUUAAAAUCUUGUUCAAGGUUUAAAAGAUCUACAGACUCUUUCAAGGUUUCAAAAAUGAUUUGCAGAUGCAAUUGUGCCACAAUUUCAAGGUUUUUUGGGGUCUUCAGUUAUAAAUGGGGCCGC
rnacentral:lncRNA from 1 species